CGCGGCCUAUCAGCUUGUUGGUGAGGUAAUGGCUCACCAAGGCAUCGACGGGUAGCUGGUCUGAGAGGACGAUCAGCCACACUGGGACUGAGACACGGCCCAGACUCCUACGGGAGGCAGCAGUGGGGAAUCUUGCGCAAUGGGCGAAAGCCUGACGCAGCAACGCCGCGUGCGGGAUGACGGCCUUCGGGUUGUAAACCGCUUUCAGCAGGGACGAAAAUGACGGUACCUGCAGAAGAAGCUCCGGCUAACUACGUGCCAGCAGCCGCGGUAAUACGUAGGGAGCAAGCGUUGUCCGGAUUUAUUGGGCGUAAAGGGCUCGUAGGCGGUUCAGUAAGUCGAGUGUGAAAAAUCUGGGCUCAACCCAGUCAAGCACUCGAUACUGCUGUGACUUGAGUUCGGUAGAGGAGUGUGGAAUUCCUGGUGUAGCGGUGGAAUGCGCAGAUAUCAGGAGGAACACCAACAGCGAAGGCAGCACUCUGGGCCGAUACUGACGCUGAGGAGCGAAAGCAUGGGGAGCAAACAGGAUUAGAUACCCUGGUAGUCCAUGCCGUAAACGUUGGGCACUAGGUGUGGGGGGGAUUCAACCCCUUCCGCGCCGUAGCUAACGCAUUAAGUGCCCCGCCUGGGGAGUACGG
rnacentral:rRNA from 1 species